CCACCACUACCUCUGACUCUGCUCCAGCUUUAGGGGGAGGAGGAAUCAGGGGCAUCUUCAGAUGUCACUGAUACUGAAGAUGAAACUGAGACUUCCGCCCCAGCAGCCAGGACUCCGGAGAGUAGAGAAGAGGAGGUGGCUGAAACUGAAUCUGACAAUGAGGAAUCUGAAUAUGCG